rnacentral:rRNA from 1 species
CCUACGGGAGGCAGCAGUGGGGAAUAUUGCACAAUGGGGGAAACUCUGAUGCAGCGACGCCGCGUGAGUGAAGAAGUAUUUCGGUAUGGAAAGCUGUAUCAGCAGGGAAGAAAAUUACGGUACGUGAUUAAGAAGCCCCGGCUAACUACGUGCCAGCAGCCGCGGUAAUACGUAGGGGGCAAGCGUUAUCCGGAUUUACUGGGUGUAAAGGGAGCGUAGAGGGCAGCACAAGUCUGGAGUGAAAUGCCGGGGCUUAACCCCGGAACUGCUUUGGUAACCGUGCAGCUAGAGUGCAGGAGAGGUAAGUGGAAUUCCUGGUGUAGCGGUGAAAUGCGUAGAUAUUAGGAGGAACACCAGUGGCGAAGGCGGCUUACUGGACUGUAACUGACGUUGAGGCUCGAAAGCGUGGGGAGCAAACAGGAUUAGAUACCCGAGUAGUC